rnacentral:rRNA from 1 species
UACAGAGGUGGCAAGUGUUGUUCGGAUUUACUGGGCGUAAAGGGUCCGCAGGCGGCUUUGUGUGUCAGAUGUGAAAGCCCACGGCUUAACCGUGGAAAUGCAUUUGAAACUACAGAGCUAGAGUACGGGAGAGGAGAGGGGAAUUCAUGGUGUAGCGGUGAAAUGCGUAGAUAUCAUGAAGAACACCGGUGGCGAAAGCGCCUCUCUGGACCGAUACUGACGCUCAUGGACGAAAGCCAGGGGAGCAAAGAGG